GACAGAGGGUACAAACGUUGUUCGGAAUACUGGGCGUAAAGCGUGUGUAGGCGGCUCUACAAGUCGGAUGUGAAAGCCCCGGGCUCAACCCGGGAAGUGCACUCGAUACUGCAGAGCUUGAGUGUGGGGAGAGGGUUGGUGGAAUUCUCGGGUGUAGAGGUGAAUUCGUAGAUAGCGAGAGGAACACCGGCGGCGAAGGCGGCCAACUGGAC
rnacentral:rRNA from 1 species